rnacentral:rRNA from 1 species
AUAUUAUAAUAUUAUUUUUAAUAAUUUUGGUUUUAUUAUUAAUUUGAGUUAAAUUAUUUAUUUAAUGUUUUAGUAUUUAAUUUGAAUAAAUUUUUUAUAUGAUAGUUUAUUUUUACUGUUAAGGAUUUAUUUUUAUUAUUGUUUAAGUAAAAUUAUUUUUGUACCUUUUGUAUCAGGGUGAAUUUAUUAUAUUUUAUUUAUUUAUUUUUCUCGAAUUAAUUUGAUCUAAUUGAUUAUGUAAGUUGUCGUUGUAUAUUUAUUUAUUAUAAUUUAUUAGUUGUGAAAUGUUAUUCAUAAAUUUUGAUAUCUAGUUUUUUAAUAAAUGAAUUUAAUUCAGUUAUUUUUAUUUAUAUUUUUAAUUAAUUAAUUAUAUAUUUUUUAAUAAUAAUAUGCUGGGGGAUUAGCUCUGGUUUAAUUUUAAAAUUUCUUUUAUUUUAUGUUAUGUAGGAUUUAUAUUAUCUAUCAUUAUUUAGUAUUUUAUAAUUUAAUAUUUUUUUAUUUUUUUUUAAUUAUUUUAUUUAAUAAUUUAUUGAAUAAUUUUUUUUUAAUUAAUAAUUAAUUGUUAUAAUGAUUUAAUUAGUAUAAUUUUAUUUAAUUGUUUAUUUUUUGUUAAAUAUUUAUAAGGAAUUAGGCAAAUUUAUAUAUUCGCCUGUUUAUCAAAAACAUCUUUUCUUGUUAUUUAUUUGAGAUUUGACCUGCCCAAUGAAAUUUUAAUGGCCGCAGUAUUUUGACUGUGCAAAGGUAGCAUAAUCAUUAGUUUAUUAAUUGUGGACUUGUAUGAAUGGUUGGACGAAAUAUUGACUGUCUCAUUUUUAAAAUUAAAAUUUAAAUUUUUUGUUAAAAUGCUUAAAUUUUUUUAUAGGACGAGAAGACCCUAUAGAUCUUUAUUUUAUUAGGUUUUAAAUUGUUUAGUUUAUUUUUUUUAUAAAAUUUAUUAAUGUUUUGUUGGGGUGAUAUGGAGAUAUAAUUAACUCUUUAUAUAUUUAUACAUUGAUUUUUGUUUAAUUGACCUUUAAUUUUUGUUAUAAGAUUUAGAUACCUUAGGGAUAACAGCGUAAUUUUUUUUGAGAGUUCAUAUCGACGAAAAAGAUUGCGACCUCGAUGUUGGAUUAAGAUAAUUAUUGGGUGUAGUUGCUCAUUUAAAUAAGUCUGUUCGACUUUUAAAUUCUUACAUGAUCUGAGUUCAGACCGGCGUAAGCCAGGUUGGUUUCUAUCCUUAAAUUUUUUAAUUAUAUUAGUACGAAAGGACCAUAUAAUUUAAAUAAUUUGUUUUAUUUGAUUAUGAAUUA